GUAAAAACGAUGAUGGAACAAGUACGUAUUUGUACGUGGACAAGAAAGGGAUUUCUAGGCUGGAAAAAUCCUCACGACUAACAAAUGCCGAAAGCUACUCCAGAGUGCAGUUAAUCACUGCCGUUCACUUACGUUACAAGUGCUUGAGAGGUAAGUAGGUUAUACUUACAACUAGGGUGGUACCGCGAGAUAAUAACAAGUCCUCGUCCCUUUU
rnacentral:ncRNA from 1 species